rnacentral:tRNA from 1 species
GCGCUCGUAGCUCAGUCGGAUAGAGCAUCGGUUUCCUAAACCGAAGGUCCCGUGUUCGAAUCACGGCGGGCGUA